rnacentral:tRNA from 1 species
GGUCUUUAAGAAUCGAACCUUAUGGAUUGAAAAUCCAUGUGUCCCUGGUUCGAUUCCUGGAGAGACCA